AGAAAAGCAUAAAUCCUCCCAUUUCAAAUUUUCAGUUGCUCAAGAAGCACUCCUCCUUAGUUGAUAGAAAGAAUGAAUAUUAUCAAGAUGUCUAGUGGACUUGAACAAGAGAUGUCAAAAGAAAAAUUCAAUUUAAAACAUGAAGAAACAAUUUAUGUUUUUCUUUUCUACCUAAUUUAUGUAUUAUUGUGACUUUUAACUCUCGCUAAAAUUCUCUCUAGCGUUACCUUUGCCUUAAUUAUUAGGAUUUAAGUAUAACAGGGAACUUGAACUUAAAGGACUAGUCCGUUAGGUCAGAAAUAUCAUAAAAGCCUAUCAUAUCAAGUAGAUUUGUUUUUUUAACAAUAGCAAACUUUAUCAGUCACAAGAAGUAUGAAUAGGAAUUGGGGACGAGUGCAAUCUAAAUUUUACUAUCUCAUCUAUAUUUUUAAAGUUACGUAUAUGAAAUUUUUAUCUAAUUCUUAUCUCCAUCGUUACUCUAUCUCUACAAUUUUAUCUAUUCUUUUACUAUUCUCUUUAAAUUAAAAAUUUUCGGAAUUGAACUAACUUAGGGGAUUGAGUAAUUCGAAAUAGAUUGCACAAAUUAUCCUCGACCUCUCAUCAUUAAACAGCAGAAACUCCAUCACCGUUACCAGGAUCUACCGAUUCACAGCCCACCUGCACAGUAGCAGAUCCACCUCUCCACCGAGUAGCAACAACCAUUGUUGAAGCGAUAUAAGCGCCCGUAGCUCUACGACCUCGUUGUUCGGUGCCGCCACAUUCAUCAUGUCGCAAAGCUUCAUCACGACGACAAAGCCCAAGCUGGAGCAUCGACUUUGCAGCCUUAGCGAUCUGGAAAAGCUACUGAAUCGGGAUUUACAGGUGUAGUGAUACCAAACGAUGGCAUUGUCUGGGAGGGAGAAGGGAAUUUGGGAGAAUGGGUUUCUAUGGAGUUUGGGAGAAGCAACUGUAUUAGGGAUCUGAAUGUUUAUUGACAUAUAAUUCCAUUAAUAAUUUAUUCCAACAUCGA
rnacentral:lncRNA from 1 species